UAGUGGCGGACGGGUGAGUAAUGUAUGAGCAACCUGCCUUUCAGAGGGGGACGAACAGUUGGAAACGACUGCUAAUACCGCAUAACGUAUUUUGGGGGCAUCCCUGAGAUACCAAAGGAGCAAUCCGCUGAAAGAUGGGCUCAUAUCUGAUUAGUUAGUUGGCAGGGUAACGGCCUACCAAGACUGCGAUCAGUAGCCGGACUGAGAGGUUGAACGGCCACAUUGGGACUGAGAUACGGCCCAGACUCCUACGGGAGGCAGCAGGUGGGGAAUAUUGGGCAAUGGGCGAAAGCCUGACCCAAGCAACGCCGCGUGAAGGAAGAAGGUCUUCGGAUUGUAAACUUCUUUUAUGAGGGACGAAGGACGUGACGGUACCUCAUGAAUAAGCCACGGCUAACUACGUGCCAGCAGCUGC
rnacentral:rRNA from 1 species